rnacentral:rRNA from 1 species
UAGGGAAUCUUCCACAAUGGGCGAAAGCCUGAUGGAGCAACGCCGCGUGUGUGAUGAAGGGUUCCGGCUCGUAAAACGCUGUUGUAAGAGAAGAAUGACAUUGAGAGUAACUGUUCAAUGUGUGACGGUAUCUUACCAGAAAGGAACGGCUAAAUACGUGCCAG